rnacentral:rRNA from 1 species
AUGACAACACACGAUGACUGGCAAUUUAAACGCUCUCAGGAGAGAGGAAGCGGCAACAGUUGCGAUUUUGCUUGGCUGUUCAACUACUCCAAGCAUUAUAAUCGAUCGUCUAUGCCAUCAACCAAAACUUGGUUCUUGAGAAAAAGAAAUACGAUAACAGUAGCAUUCAUGCAAAAUCUAGUACAGAAAAUAGCACGUGACUUUUAUAGACAUUUGCUGGUCGAAUUUUGGAAACUCAGGUCACCAACCAUUCAACAGCAUUCCAGAACUCAGCUCAGAUUGCAGCUCCAGGCUCAUUCAGUGCCAGUCACUCCAUGCACUGCUCCUCAUGAGAAGUCACAAGAGAACACCACAAGCUUCAGUAACUAUACAGUUUUAUCUACCGUUUCCAUGGAACAAACAAGCAAACACAUCUACUGA